rnacentral:misc_RNA from 1 species
UGCGGCUGGAUCCCCUCCUUUCUAGAGCAAGCGAGCCUUGCCAGUGCCCACAGCCUAUCGGCUGUUAGUUGUCAGGUGUCGGUGGACGGCAGGGGCUUCUUGCUGCACGCACUGUCUUGCGGCCUUUCCUGGCAACCGUGGAUGCCGACUGACGACGGGCAACCCAAGGGGGUCUGUAGCUCAGUUGGUUAGAGCACACGCUUGAUAAGCGUGGGGUCGGUGGUUCAAGUCCACCCAGACCCACCACUUACCGCUUUGCAGGGUGCGCGGCGCGCGCCUGGCCCUGGGGCUGUAGCUCAGCUGGGAGAGCAUCUGCUUUGCAAGCAGGGGGUCGUCGGUUCGAAUCCGAUCAGCUCCACCAGCUUCCCUAUCGAGGACUCAUCGGUGAAGGCCGUGCUUCGGCCCUCACUCGUGACUCUUCACGAGUCGCGGCUGUUCGCUCUUUAACAAUCUGGAAGAAGUGUGAAUGUGUGUCGCUCGUCCAGGGCGGCACACGGGUUGUUGAUUGCAUCAACGAAGCUCGUUCCGCGAGGAACGGGUGUUGUUGAAGCGCUGCUCAACCUGUAACCCCGCUUCGGGCGCCGAGCUCGAGGCCGUUUGGGGUUAUAGGGUCAAGCGAACAAGUGCAUGUGGUGGAUGCCUUGGCGAUCACAGGCGAUGAAGGACGUCGUANCGUGCGAAAAGCUCCGGGGAGCCCGCAAACAGGCUUUGAUCCGGAGAUGUCCGAAUGGGGAAACCCGG